rnacentral:rRNA from 1 species
GACGAACGCUGGCGGCGUGCUUAACAUAUGCAAGUCGAACGGAAAGGCCCUGCUUUUGUGGGGUGCUCGAGUGGCGAACGGGUGAGUAACACGUGAGUAACCUGCCCUUGACUUUGGGAUAACUUCAGGAAACUGGGGCUAAUACCGGAUAGGAGCUCCUGCUGCAUGGUGGGGGUUGGAAAGUUUCGGCGGUUGGGGAUGGACUCGCGGCUUAUCAGCUUGUUGGUGGGGUAGUGGCUUACCAAGGCUUUGACGGGUAGCCGGCCUGAGAGGGUGACCGGCCACAUUGGGACUGAGAUACGGCCCAGACUGCUACGGGAGGCAGCAGUGGGGAAUAUUGCACAAUGGGCGGAAGCCUGAUGCAGCAACGCCGCGUGCGGGAUGACGGCCUUCGGGUUGUAAACCGCUUUCGCCUGUGACGAAGCGUGAGUGACGGUAAUGGGUAAAGAAGCACCGGCUAACUACGUG